ACCUGGCUGGCUCAGUUGGUAGAACAUGUGACUCUUGAUCUCGGAGUCGUGGGUUCAAGCCCCAUGUUGGGCU
rnacentral:tRNA from 1 species